GAAAUCGAAGGCCAUUGCUGACAAGAUUGCUUUGCGAGCUGCAUCUGAGGGCAUUCCGAUAGUGCCGGUUUAUCCCGGAGUUGUCUAUGGCGCUGGGAAAGUCACGGCUGGGAAUGUUAUUGCCCGCAUGCUGAUUGAACGGUUCAAUGGGCGAUUACCCGGAUAUUUAGGCCAUGGAAACGAUAGGUAUUCUUUUAGCCAUGUCGAUGAUGUGGUAGAAGGGCAUAUUGCAGCAAUGCAGAAAGGUCGAGUAGGGGAAAGGUAUCUUCUAACAGGAGAAAAUGCAUCAUUUGUGGAAGUUUUUGACACAGCUGCAGCCAUUACUGGUACAACAAAACCAAUCUUUAACAUUCCACUGUGGUUAAUUGAAACCUGUGGCUGGGUUUCAGUUUUGAUCUCUCGAAUCACAGGGAAACUUCCUCUCAUCAGCCCCCCGACUGUGAAGGUUUUGAGACAUCAGUGGGCAUAUUCUUGUGACAAGGCAAAACAAGAGCUGGACUAUAACCCUAGAAGUUUAAAAGAAGGAUUAGAAGAGAUGCUACCAUGGCUAAAGAGCUUGGGUUUGAUAAAAUAUUAAGAAAGAUGGACCUGUGUUGCUAUAUUCUGCCAAUUCUCUAUGGUAUUACAGUACAAAAAUAAAGAGCUGUAAUAACAAACUUUGGUUAUAAACUGAAAAGC
rnacentral:misc_RNA from 1 species